rnacentral:rRNA from 1 species
AUUGAACGCUGGCGGCAGGCCUAACACAUGCAAGUCGAACGAGUGGCGGACGGGUGAGUAAUGUCUGGGAAACUGCCUGAUGGAGGGGGAUAACUACUGGAAACGGUAGCUAAUACCGCAUACCAUCAGAUGUGCCCAGAUGGGAUUAGCUUGUAGGUGGGGUAACGGCUCACCAAGGCGACGAUCCCUAGCUUGUCUGAGAGGAUGACCCGCCACACGGGAUCUGAGACACGGUCCAGGCUCCUACGGGAGGCAGCAGUGGGAAAUAGUGCACAAUGGGCGCAAGCCGGAUGCAGCCAUGCCGGGUGUAUGAAGAAGGCCUUCGGGUUGUAAAGUACUUUCAGCAGGGAGGCGUUACCGACAGAAGAAGCACCGGCUAACUCGGUGCCAGCAGCCGCGGUAAUUC